rnacentral:piRNA from 1 species
UGCCCCAAAGACGAGGCUGUGCUUGCCGUG